AGGAUAUAAAUAUAAAUUUCAGGGUAAGAGCAACUUGUUGCGCACUUCUGAAAGCCUUGAACGUUUAUAGCUGCUCUGUAUGCAUUUGUACUCAACAUUUGUAUACGUUUUUUCCUGGCUGAAGUCGAAUCUUAUCCUAUGGUUAUCAAGUUGUGCAAGCAAGAUAUUGAUUCAGGACAACAACUAUCCCACAAGAGGACAAGACGAUCUGGGCCAAUAGCUCAACAAGUAAUUUAAUGUGUUAUUGAUACUGGACAAAAUGUCAACAUAUUUCACUUUGUGGGUGUUUUUUGGCAUACUGUCCCCCCUUCUGCUGGCUGCAUGGGCAGCUAAUUGUGCAGAGAGGGAAGGGUUGGUGAAACUGCUCCCCGGCCAGGACUCCAGUAGACCCUUAUCAAACUGUUUGAUCGAGUGCACUGAGACUACCUACCAUAAGAAAAUUCGACUUCAAGACCACCAUAACAUACGGCUGUCACUUUGCACGGAAGGAGACCUCGGGGAAUACUGUUGGUCUACGGAGCUAAAGUGCAACAUUGGAGAAAGCUUUGUGCAUGCCUACGUGGUGGUGCCUGUGGAUGUAUCUGUAGUUGGACAUGAGCUGCUUGAAGUGAAAUCCACUGUCCCUUCUGCCACCACACUACUCGCACACAACAGCUCCACCACAAUUGCAGACGACUGUGGCCUCCAAUACGACGUGACGCCACAAUUCAGUACGGAGAAGACGGGGAACUCUUUCUGCGUACAGGUUGUUUCCCCGGGAGGUGUUGUGUGGGACCAGGUUCUCAAAUGUCCUCCUUUUCUGGUCACCUUCUGGGAGAGAAAACCAAAUCAGAUCAACCUAGGAGGUGAUGGAUAAAAUACCCAUAUAUUUUACUAAAGUUAAAUAACUAAUGCAUACUGUACACAUACUCAGUCCUGCAUUAAGCAUGUUACCUAAGUUAAAGUGCGAUUUGAUAUCAUUGUAUUUUUAACAUCUCAUUCAUUAAUGUGUAACCAGCACUUUGCAAUUUGUUGACUUUUGAGCUAUUUCAUUAUGGAUUUAGCUCCUGAUGGUUUUCUAGAUUCAUUGAGUGAUUGUUUGGUUUUACAAGUCCAAACCUAUAACUAUUGGACAAAGGCAUAGAAAAGCCAAAAAAGCCCCCAAAAACAUAAAUUGAUUUUAUUUUUUGUUAAAUGACAGACAACAAACAUUGUUGUUGUCAAUUUAUCAGCUGUCAAAAGUUUGAGACAUCAUAUUUUAUAAGAUAUUUUUAUGUUUUGCAUGCAAACAUCUUUAUUUCUAAAAUAACUAAUAACUAGUAGGUGUCAAACAAUUGUAUAGGGCUAAUAAGUACAAUAUAGAAGAAAAGGGAUCAUUAAAUGAAUAAUACAAGUAGCUUAAUUGUAUGUUUGAGUACAGUAGUUGAAACUACGCUUGAAAGCAACUCUCAGCAAGUUUUGUAUGAUAUUGUUAAAGCUUGAUUUAUGUGAUUUUAAACUUAAUUGUUUUAGUUGUGAAAGUAUUUGAUGGCGUUUGACCACAGAAGAGCAUGUGGAUCACUCUAAAUGUGUGAAACCAGCUUUGUUAAGCAAUAAAAAAUUGCAAAUAAAUUAGAUUGGAAUAAUGUUAUAUUGUCAUAUGUGUACUUGUAUGUGAGUAUUUGCUGCUCUGGUAAUAUAAUGUUCAUCCAUUUAUAAUAAAAAAAACCCAGCUUUUUAUUAAAUAAAGUUUACUUGUAUUUUA